rnacentral:rRNA from 1 species
UUUGUAUAAUGGGUCAGCGACUUAUAUUCAGUGGCAAGGUUAACCAUCUAGGGGAGCCGUAGGGAAACCGAGUCUUAACUGGGCGUUCAGUCUCUGGAUAUAGACCCGAAACCAGGUGAUCUAGCCAUGGGCAGGUUGAAGGUUGAGUAACAUCAACUGGAGGACCGAACCGACUAAUGUUGAAAAAUUAGCGGAUGACUUGUGGCUAGGGGUGAAAGGCCAAUCAAACCUGGAGAUAGCUGGUUCUCCCCGAAAGCUAUUUAGGUAGCGCCUCGGACGAAUACUACUGGGGGUAGAGCACUGUUAAGGCUAGGGGGUCAUCCCGACUUACCAACCCUUUGCAAACUCCGAAUACCAGUAAGUACUAUCCGGGAGACACACGGCGGGUGCUAACGUCCGUCGUGGAGAGGGAAACAACCCAGACCGCCAGCUAAGGUCCCAAAUUACUACUAAGUGGGAAACGAUGUGGGAAGGCUCAGACAGCCAGGAUGUUGGCUUAGAAGCAGCCAUCAUUUAAAGAAAGCGUAAUAGCUCACUGGUCGAGUCGGCCUGCGCGGAAGAUGUAACGGGGCUAAGUAGUAAACCGAAGCUGCGGCAAUAUACUUUUGUAUAUUGGGUAGGGGAGCGUUCUGUAAGCGGUUGAAGGUGUGUGGUAACGCAUGCUGGACGUAUCAGAAGUGCGAAUGCUGACAUGAGUAACGAUAAAGGGGGUGAAAAACCUCCUCGCCGGAAGACCAAGGGUUCCUGUCCAACGUUAAUCGGGGCAGGGUAAGUCGACCCCUAAGGCGAGGCCGAAAGGCGUAGUCGAUGGGAAACGGGUUAAUAUUCCCGUACUUCUUACAAUUGCGAUGGGGGGACGGAGAAGGCUAGGUGGGCCUGGCGACGGUUGUCCAGGUUCAAGUGCGUAGGCUUGAGAGUUAGGUAAAUCCGGCUCUC